ensembl:lincRNA Gm37134 predicted gene, 37134
AGAGUGAGAGAAAUAAUCCCGUUUCUUUGGCAGAGGAUGUGUAGAGUAAUAAAGAGCUCUUUCUGACUAAACCCUCCGGACCAUAAGCCUCCUGAGUACUGAGAUAAUGGGUAUGCCUCGCCAAACCUGGCAGCUACUAUCUUUGAAUGAGUGUUCAGGUUGGAAGAUCCUUUGGCCUGGUAGAGCAUAGCCCUGGCAAUCCAUCUGGACCAGCUGGUUCUGGAUUGGUUCACUCUUAGCCUGAAACAGGUCGCUUCGGCAGUGCCACUUAUGAUGGAGAAGAUUACAAGCAAUUAAAUUUUUUCAUUAGAAUAUCAGUGGAAUGAAUGACCCUAGAGGAGACAGAAGAGCGAUAGUGUCUCAUCGCCCGCCCAUCACAGGAGUGAAUGAAACCGAACAAAGGGAAACAUUCUUCCCACCUCACUCUGGCAGAUGGCAGAGGUCAAGUUUGACAGUUACCAGAGCUGACAAUUCCUUCAUGAUGCAAUUUCAGGAGGAAAAAAAAGGACCCUGACCAGGGACCAACAGGGAUGCUUUAUUCCUGUGCAUUCAACAGAGUCAUUUCCUGCACAGCAUUAGCUGUCCCGGGGAAUGCUGUGGAGUAAGCUGGAAAUGAGGACAGAGCUCU